rnacentral:lncRNA from 10 species
ACAAAUGCAAGGCAGGCAGGAGUUACCUGGUUGAUGGAAAUGACCGCCAGCCGGGGUAUGACCACUUGGAGGAUGACCUGCAGCAGCGAGGUGCCCAGGCCGGCCAGGAUGGCCCAGGUGAGCGGCAGCGGCAGCAUACUGUAGGUGGCGAAGAGCGUGAAGAGCACGUAGCCUAUGCCGUCGCCCAGGAGCCCGUAGCCGAGGCCUGCUGCCAGGAUCUGGGUGGUCAUGGCCACCCAGGUGACCACGCCGCUGUACUGCAGACUUAUAAAAGAAGUAGAACACACAUGCUUCCCAUUAGGUGAGAAAGAAACAUGCCUGAGAGUCUAAUGGAUUACUCAAGUCUGUGCUGCCAAGGAAGAACAGAAUCUUUAGAUAUCAUGUGUUUUACAAAUUGAAGUUUGUGGAAACCCUGCAUCAAACAAGUCUAUUGGUGACAUUUUCCCAACAGCAUUUGCUCACUUUGUGUUUCUGUGUCACAUGUUGAUAAUUCUUACAAUAUUUGAAACCUUUUUUAUUAUUAUACAUGUUCUGGUGAUCUGUGAUCAGUGAUCUUUGAUGUUACUACUGUAAUUUUUUUGGAUGCUGUGAACUGUGCCCAUAUAAAAUGGUGAAUUAAAUCAAUA